rnacentral:tRNA from 1 species
GUUUUAAUAGUUUAAUUUAAAACAAUGAUCUUGUAAAUCAUAAAUAGGGAAACCUUUAAAACU